rnacentral:rRNA from 1 species
UAGAAGAUGGCGACCGGCGCACGGGUGAGUAACACGUAUCCAACCUGCCGAUAACUCGGGGAUAGCCCUUCGAAAGAAAGAUUAAUACCCGAUGGCAUAAUAGAACCGCAUGGUUUGAUUAUUAAAGAAUUUCGGUUAUCGAUGGGGAUGCGUUCCAUUAGGCAGUUGGUGGGGUAACGGCCCACCAAACCUUCGAUGGAUAGGGGUUCUGAGAGGAAGGUCCCCCACAUUGGAACUGAGACACGGUCCAA